GGAUGUGAGGGUGAUUUGGCUGUGACAUCUGUCACCCAUUGAUCACCAGGGUUGAUUCGGCUGAUCUGGCUGACUAGGCACGUGUCCCCUUCCUCCCUCUCUGCCCCGUGUGUGCCCCUCCCAAAGCUGUGCACUUGGUGCAAGACGACCACAGCCUUCUCCAAACAGAGGAGGCCGGUCCUCGGUCUAGGGAGUACGAGUAGCUGCGUUCCCCUGCUACAACCUCCAGACACGCUCGCAAACCAUCCUCAGCUUGUACUUUCUCUUGGGUCUUCCCUGCUUGUUUGCAUGGUUUCCCAGUUGGUCAGGGAUACAUGAGAACUUAUUUC
rnacentral:snRNA from 1 species